GUGGUAUGGUGGUAUACAGGUUAACUACAUCAAAAGAAACCAUAAUGCUGUCUUUGCCAACUGUUCUGGGAAGAUGGUUCAACAUAUCUAAGUCAUCUCGAACAAAGCUUGGUAUUUGUUUAAGUAUUGGUUUCAAAAGAAUAUCUAGAAAAUUACUUAGUCUAUGUGUUUCACAAGAAGGACCUGCUACAAUUGGUCUCAAUUUC
rnacentral:lncRNA from 1 species